rnacentral:tRNA from 1 species
AUUAUGAUAGUUUAAAAAAAAAUUUAAGUUUGUGGAACUUAGGAUGAAUUUAAUUCUUAUAAUA